CUGAACUCGAGUAGGGCCCAAGCAAGCCAGGAAGGAGGAGGCAGCCAGAGUGUUCUCUGCAGCAGAAGACCUCUUGCUGCCCUGCUUAACCCAGACCAGCAUUUGCCAGAUGUAUUCCCUUCUGUUACCCACCAGAUUGCUAUUUUUGCCGCCUUAUCUAUGAAAACGAGGAACUUAUUUACCAGCAGAAGGUUUCCAUCAGGACGUUCUCUGUAGAGCAGCAACUGGCUAAUAAAGCACUUCAAAGGUUAUGACAGAGUAUGCUGUUCACCAGCAGUUGAGUAUUCUAAAUUGAAAUAACAGCAAUGCAUGAAGUAGUCUCUAACAUUCAGCCUGCUUUGGAAGGUUCUAGGGAAUCUAGGAUGUUUUGAACUGGAAAUAUAUUGUGAUGUGCAUGCCUUGCUUUGAAUUUGAUGGUCAUCAAUGGUAUCAGUACAAGUACUCAGUAUUAGAUUCUGUGUGCUGAACAGCUAUCUGCUUGUUUAUUACAACUGUAGUACUGAUCACUUCUGCAAGACAGUUAAUCACAUGUAGUGCUUUAAAGUAAUUAUCUAAUUUAUCCUUGCAGCAACCCUUGAGCUGUGUGGGAAAGACAUCCAGCAAGAUUGUAAUGAACCUUCAGCUGAAGAAGGCUAGCUACUGCCUUUUAUACAAGCUCUCACAAAUUCCAAAUAAAAACUACUA